rnacentral:rRNA from 1 species
GACAGAGGGUGCAAACGUUGUUCGGAAUUACUGGGCGUAAAGCGCGUGUAGGCGGCUAUGUAAGUCGGGCGUGAAAUCCCACGGCUCAACCGUGGAAGUGCAUUCGAAACUGCGAGGCUAGAGUCCUGGAGAGGAAGGUGGAAUGCUUGGUGUAGAGGUGAAAUUCGUAGAUAUCAAGCGGAACACCGGUGGCGAAGGCGGCCUUCUGGACAGUGACUGACGCUGAGACGGCGAAAGCGUGG